UACGGAGGGUGCAAGCAUUAAUCGGAAUUAUUGGGCGUAAAGGGCGCGUAGGCGGAAAUUCAAGUCAGAUGUGAAAUACCGGGGCUCAACUUCGGUGCUGCAUUUGAGACUGCUUUUCUAGAGGGUAGAAGGAGAAAAUGGAAUUCCACAAGUAGCGGUGAAAUGCGUAGAUAUGUGGAAGAACACCGGUGGCGAAGGCGGUUUUCUAUUUUAUUCCUGACGCUGAGGCGCGAAAGCAAGGGGAUCAAACAGG
rnacentral:rRNA from 1 species